rnacentral:lncRNA from 1 species
GAGAUUUCUAGGAACGGGGACUUGUUUACGCCAAUGUUUCUAUUAGCGCCCUUGCGGUACCACUAACUUGGAAAGUUGUUUAUCUAAAUGGCCAUACAAUCUUGAUUACCAAUUAUAAUCUUUAUGAAACCACUAAGUGUCCAUGCAAAUGUUUUUGUAGUUUUUUUUUUUUUAAUGUCUAGACUAAUCCUAACAUAAUUUAGAAGAGAAAUUUACACUCAAAAU